UCCAGACUCCUACGGGAGGCAGCAGUGGGGAAUAUUGGACAAUGGGGGGAACCCUGAUCCAGCGACGCCGCGUGAGUGAAGAAGUAUUUCGGUAUGUAAAGCUCUAUCAGCAGGGAAGAAAGAAAUGACGGUACCUGACUAAGAAGCCCCGGCUAACUACGUGCCAGCAGCCGCGGUAAUACGUAGGGGGCAAGCGUUAUCCGGAUUUACUGGGUGUAAAGGGAGCGUAGACGGCAAGGCAAGUCUGGAGUGAAAGCCCGUGGCUCAACCACGGGACUGCUUUGGAAACUGUGUUGCUGGAGUGCAGGAGGGGUAAGCGGAAUUCCUAGUGUAGCGGUGAAAUGCGUAGAUAUUAGGAGGAACACCGGUGGCGAAGGCGGCUUACUGGACUGUAACUGACGUUGAGGCUCGAAGGCGUGGGGAGCAAACAGGAUUAGAUACCCCAGUA
rnacentral:rRNA from 1 species